rnacentral:sRNA from 1 species
UCUGGGUGUGGUGGCGCACACCUGUAAUCCCAGUGGCUUGGGAGGCUGAGGCAGGAGAAUCACAAGUUCAAAGCCAUCCUCAGCAACUUAAUGAGGCCCUGAGCAACUUAGUGAGAGACCCUGUCUCAA